CCUACGGGAGGCUGCAGUGGGGGAUAUUGCACAAUGGGGGGAACCCUGAUGCAGCGACGCCGCGUGGGUGAAGAAGCGCCUCGGCGCGUAAAGCCCUGUCAGCAGGGAAGAAAAUGACGGUACCUGAAGCAGAAGCCCCGGCGAACUACGUGCCAGCAGCCGCGGUAAUCAGGAGGGGGCACGCGGUAUCCGGGUUUACUGGGUGGAAAGGGGGCGCAGACGGCGAUGCAAGCCAGGAGUGAAAGCCCGGGGCCCAACCCCGGGACUGCUCUUGGAACUGCGUGGCUGGAGUGCAGGAGGGGCAGGCGGAAUUCGUGGUGUAGCGGUGAAAUGCGUAGAUAUCAGGAGGAACACCGGUGGCGAAGGCGGCCUGCUGGACUGCAACUGACGUUGAGGCCCGAAAGCGUGGGGAGCAAACAGGAUUAGAUACCCGAGUAGUC
rnacentral:rRNA from 1 species